rnacentral:lncRNA from 1 species
AGCGCAGGAGCUCUCAGACUACCUCAGAUGCCAAGAGCCUGGUUUGAAUACAAGCCUUGCCAUUGUGUGACUUUGGGCCAGUGUUUCCAGCCAUCAUGUCAGAGCUGAGUGGAGUGGCACUGGGUGCCAAGGCAAACACCCAGCCCAGCUGUGCUGGGAAGAACUGAGCUCCAAUGUGUCUUGUGACCCAGCUCCUCCCACCCACCUGGCUGUGUCUCCUAUCCUGCAGAGAUUUCUGGGGGCUGUUUCCAGUAAACAGAGUGCCAGCACCCACUAACCUGUAAAUAGCACCUUGUUCAGGGGGAGUGAUAUUCUUUGACUGUAUGAUUUGGGGCCUUGCUGCUCAAAAUGUGGUCAGCAGCAUUGACAUCACCUGGGAUCUCAUUACAAAUGCAGAAUCUCAGACCUCACUCCAGAUGUGCUGGAUGAGAAUGGCCAUUUUCACAAGCUCCCCAGGAUAUGUGUGCCUGUUAAAGUUUGAGAAGCACUGAUCGGAGGACUUCGGUUAUAAUCCCACCUCCUUCUAUAAGUGAUUAAAGAAAAUUCACUUAUACUCUCCUUUGAACAGCUGUAUGCUUCUCAAUUUCUCUCUCUCUCUCUCUCUCUCACACACACACACACACACACACACUUUAUUUUUCAAUCUCUAUAGACUUGCUUCUUUGUAAGGCUCUCAAUUUCUCCUCCCCAGUGACACAAGCUUGCAUGUGGAUAUAGCUCGUCAUGGUGCCUAUUUAUCUUCAACUUUAUGCAACCUUAGCACUCUUUUACUCAGAAACCUUUUGACUGGGAGAGCAGGGCAAACUCAAAUCCCUACAGAGACCAGGAAGGCAGCAUGGAUGAGUGCAGAAAGCUACAUUUGUUUCAGAAAGGAAUCAGUGUAUAUUCUUUCAGCAGACACAUUUAGUUUGUUUCUUAUAAGCCACUAGAAGAGUCAUUACUUUCACAAAGUCAUAUGCUUAUUCCCAUUUUUCAUAAAAUAUGGCCUAUCUUCAGUUUUCCCAGUUUUGAUACAGAAAAAAAUAUAAGAAAGAUUUUCUAUUUCCUAUAACUAUAAAAGCCCACUAAUAGCACCAGCACAGCCACCCCUGGGCUUCACACAGGGAGUGGCAGGAGCUGUGCAGAUGGAGAGUGCAUACUGGUGUGAAGGGGGCAAUGGAUCUCAGCUCCAGCCAUUGUCUUCAUGCAGGAAUUUGGGACCAUUUUACCGGAUCCUCCCAUUUCUUCAAGAGAAGCCGGAAAUCUGGAUUUCUAUGUGAAAUCUCCCACUUUUUUAUGCUGGCAACUAAUUUUCUUUAAACACUGUGCCAAACAAAACAUACCUGCAGGCCAAAAUCUACACCCUCUGGGCUGGAUUUCAAUGUCUCUUAAACUCUCAACAGAGAGCAUCUUACUGUUUCAGUUCAGGGUAGAUGUCUACCCAUGGUCCCAUCGAGUGGGGUCUGGAUAUGGAAUCAGCUAGAAGAAGCAUAGUCUAUGCCCAUUCUUUCAGCAGGGACUGUGGGCAGGAAACCAUUUCCAAAGAAGCAGGCAUGAGUUGGUGGCCAUACAAAUAUAUAUGUUAUAUUGAUAAAUAUAAAAACAGGAGAUUCUGGGGGACCACAAGUUUUUACAAAUUAGGCUUAUUUUAGGAUAAAUUCACCCUUGUUAGUGUGCAGUUCUGUGAGUUUUGAUAUACAUAUGCAGUCAAGUAACCACUCCCACAAUUAAGAUACAGAAUAAUUCCAUCACCCCCCAAAUUUCUUGUAUGCCCCUUUAUAGCUAGCCCCUGACCCUAACCUCUGGCAAUCACUAAUAUAUUCUCUUUUUCUAUAGGCUUGCUUUUUUUCAAAAUGUCAUAUACAUGGAAUCACACAGUUUAUAGCCUUUUGAGUCUGGCUUAUUUUACUCAGCAUAAUGCCUUUGAGCUUUAACCAUGUAAUUUCAUGUAUCAGUAGUUCAUUCCUAUGUAUUGCUAAGUAAUUUUCCACUGUAUAGAUGCACCACAGUUUGUUUAUCCAUUCACCAAUUAAAGCCAUAAUCAACUUCCAUGUAGAAGUUUGUGUGUGAACACAGUUUUAAUUUAUUUGGGGUUACUACCUAGGAGUGAGAUUCUGGGUCUUAUGGUAAGCAUACAUUUUACUAAGAAACUAUAAAACUCUUUUCCAAAGUGGCUGAACCAUUUGACAUUUCUAACAGCAAUAUUUGAAAGUUCCCAUUGCUCUGUAUCCUCUCCAGUACUUACAUGCUCAGCAUUUUGGUUUGGUCUGGUUUCAUUGUUUCUGAGCUCUUCUGAUAGAUGUGGAGUACACCCCCAUUUUGGAUGAAUUGUGCCAAAUGUGUAGACCAUCCUCAAAAUCUAAGGUCUCAGUAAAAACAAUUAAACAUGAUUUCUGAUAUAAUGUCUUAUCCUUGAAAACCCUGACCCAUCCAUCUUCAGCACAUUCACAUGUGUAAUAAGGUAAGUGAUUUUUAAUUCCACCAGGUUUAAAGACCCCUGACGUGACUUAUUGCCAUUCUGCUACUGAGCCUUGAGAGAUUAUGGUAAGUGCCAAGAAAAAAAAAAUGACUUUGAACUGCUCUUUCACCAGUUAAAAAUAACACUGAAACCAAAUGUAAACAUAAAAGAAGUGGUCAGAUUCGGGUUACAUAUUAACGGUGUUUGGUCAGGCUGGAGCUGAGGCACAGCAGCAGAGAAUGCCUUUUACUUAUCACUGUUUCCAAACCUCCCUACCUGGACUAGGCUUGACUGGAUUUACAAGAGACCUUUUGAAAAGAUGCAGAGAAGGCAAGCAGCACACAUUUCCUGGUAAUAAAUUUUAAAGGUUGCUAAAACAUUCCAGAGAUUUUCACUCAACAUUCCUCUGGCCAACACAUCUGCAAUCUGCCAAUCCUUAAAAAUAGGUGUUUUUGCAUUUUAAUCUCACAAACAUCUUUGAAAAUGCAUUUCUUCUCUGCCCCUGUGUUGGACAAAUCCAGCUUUUUCCAUUUUCUAAAAACCACAGAAAUAUAAUGCUGCUUAAUUCAUACAAGACUGAGCUAACUGGAGUUAAAAUAAAAUUUCUGAGAGUUUGUUUGGCUCACUCUUCCCUACCAGAUGAUUCCAUUCUUAAAACGGUCCUGUGAUUAUAUUCUCUCAUUACAGAGGUGUCCAGAAAAAAAAUAAGGAGUGCAGUUCUGAAAUUAUAUAAAAGCAAAAUUAUUACUCUAAACGUAAGAGCUGUGAUAGAUCGUGUCAUUGACCAUGGUUCUUUUCCCCUGACACACACGUCCCCACCACCCACCCACUGUAUCCAUAUGCCUUUUGCCAUAUGACUUUGCAGCUCUCCCCACUAAAGGGGCAGCCAUGCGAUUUGCUUUGGCCAAUGAAAUGAGGCAGUAGUGGUGGUAUCCUAGUUCUGAGCCUAGGUCUCAAGAAGUCUUAUGUGUUUCUGCUUAUCCUCUUAUACCUCUGCCAUCACCAUGAGCCAAACAUCCCCCAAGUAGCCCACUGGUCCCAGGACAAGGAGGGAGACAUGAAGCAGAGCUCAUCCAGCUGCUGCAGCCCCACUUGACCCAGAGACCUACACUGGGAAGCAGAGCUGCCCAGUCAAGUCCAACCUGGAUGUGUGGAACCCCAGCCAACCUGAUGCAUGAGCAUGACUCUGGACAGUGAACAUUGGUGGAAAUUGGUUAUCCCCAAUUUCCAGCUCACGGCAUUGGAAGACAUCAUAAACAUUAAUGGAGAGCGGGAUGCCAGAAUAAGUUGAUCCAAAUGAUGCAGGAAUAUUUAGCAGCAAGGAGAAAGGAAUUCACAUUUCUCAGUACCCACUAUGUGCCAUACUUUGUGAUAAGAUGGUUUCCCUCCAAUAUAUCCUCAUUGUCAGCAAUGUCGGGAAACAGGAAUCAUUUCCCCUUCUACAGGUGAUAAAACUGAAGCAAGAAACAUACAGGCUAACAUCAGCUGAGCUGAGAUUUGAACUCCACUCUUUUUGACCCUGGAGCUGAUGAAUGCUGCUUCUAGAGGUUGAGUAUCCCUUAUCCGAAAUCCUUGGAACCAGGAGAUUUUUGGAUUUGGGAAUAUUUGCAUAUACAUAAUGAGAUAUCUUGGAGAUGGGACCCAAGUCUAAAUACAAAAUUAUUUUGUUGUAUAUACACCUUGUACACAUAGACUGAAGAUAAUUUUAUACAAUAUUUUAAAUAAUUUUGUGCGUGAAACAAAGUUGUGACUAUGUCUUGACUGUAAGACAUCUUGCAUGCAACCCAUCAUAUGAGGUCAGGUGCAGAAUUUUCCAUUUGUGGUGUCAUGUUAGUGCUCAAAAAUUUUCGGAUUUUGGAGCACUUCAGACUUUCGUUUUCCAGACGGGGGAUGCUCAACCUGUCUUAGAACCUGUGGUCUCCCAUCAUGCCUCCCUUCCCCAUUCCCUUGCUCCACUGGGGUCUGAGGUGGGAAAGCAAAAGGAGUUGCAGGUAACCCUCACUUUUCACACCAGGCAAUCUCUCCCCACAAUCUGUCACAUUCCUGAAGAACAAGGAAGCAGAGCACUCCACUGAAGAAAUUCUGUUAAAAUCUAUCCCCAACGUAUAAGCAUCCAUCUUUGUCCCAGUCUGGGUCUAACAUGAACAAAGUGCUUAAACAAUUCAGUAGAGGAGAAAGGGAACUUGGAGCAGCUCUGUCACCCUGAAGUGACACUGCCAUGCUGCAUUUCCUGUCUGUAAUAUCUCUUCAGAGCAAUUGUUUUCUUCUGUGAGGACACUUCAGAGAUUCACAGAGACAGAUGCUCUUGUGACUGACCAUAGCAAGUAUCAAAAGGCCUGGGUGGAAUUACGAAGCAUUUCUCGUGCACUGCGUAUUGGGAAGUGCUUCACAGCUGUGUGGCAGAUGUGAGUGGACAGAGGGGCAAGGGAACUGCCCCAAAGGAGGUGGCAGAGGAAGCAACAAGCCAGGGAUUGGCUGGCCGGUCCCAGCACAGCAACUGCAGCAGCAGCUUGCUAAGUUUCACAGGUGAAGCCAAAGGCUGGGGGGAAUGGAAAACAAAUAUCACUCCAUUAAAUUAAGGUCUGAGGAAAACAUGAUGAGGAAAGUCAAUAGUGAAUCAAAACAUUGAAAAGCCACUAACUUUGACUUUCCAUGUGCGUGUGCAAGUUCACGUGUGCAUGUGUGUCUGCAUGUCCAAGUUCUACACUGAUUCAAGAAAUAAUUAUAGAGGGCCUGCCAUAGGAUGGUGAGCAAAACAGUCUUGGCCUCUGUCCUGAUGGAGCAUGCAGUAUCACAGACUCUAUAUGUUCUAUUUCUAGGCCUUGUAUUUUGAGGAUAUAUGCCAGUGGAAUGAGAAUGGCUCUGUGACCUUGUUUAAGUCCCACCACUGUCUCAGGCAGGGUUUUCCAAAGUGUAGUCCUUAUACUAUUAUGUGGUGAAGAUGCUUAAUUGUUUUGUAAUUAUUUAAUGUGCGUAGGUAUCACAUCAAACCCAGUAUUUUCAAGGAUUUUUAUAGCUUAAGACAAGGCUUGUUAUAGGCAAGGUGGAUCAAUUCAAAAAAUAUAUGCUAACAAAAUAAUAGUGGAGGUGGUACAAAGAAACAGCAAAGGUAGUGAGAUGGCUUCACUGGUGUUUGUGAAUCACCAAGAUAAUGCACGUGGAAAUAAAAAUCAGUGUGGUCCAUAGAAAUACAAGGGGUUCUAAUUACCCCUCAGUGAGCACUUGCUCUCUCACUCACCCCAGCAAUGACAUAUUAAGCAAAGCACUGCCCUGACUGCAUAUGCUCUUGCCGACAACUUGGCCAGCAUUCAGAAGACACUAAGUGUGCUCUGGGAACUUCAGAAGGCACUAACAUUCCAUGGAGAACUUCACAAAGAGUGAGACCUAGUCCCUGGCCUAAAGAGAGUAUAAUUUAGUAGGAAAGAGAAGACAAACACACAAAUAACUGUAAAAUGGGAUAAGCCCCAAAGUGGAGGUACAAAGUCCCAUAGAAGAGGCUCAAUGAUAAGUCACGCCUGCCGGGUAAGGUCAAGAAAGACUUCAUGGAGAUUUGAGAUGGCAUCUGAGAUAAGCCAGGAAAGACGGUAGAAUUUCAACAACCAAAAAAGUGGGGAGAGGGAUGGGAGGCAUUCCAGAGAAGGAGAAAUGCUUGAGCAAUGGUACAGAGACCAGGAAGUUAUAUGAGGGCAGAAAGUCCCUGCUGUCUAUUUAGCUGGGAUAUAGAAUGCAAGUCAGUUAGAUGAUUAGGUGGGGUUAUAACAUAACUAGCCUUAAAUAGUGGACUGAGAAUUUUCCACUUAAUUUAAUGCAAAUGGCAGGGGAGGGGGCAGGCAAUGGAGAGCUGAAAACAGGACUGGAGAUGCGCUGGAGGGAAGUAACCCUGGAAAUGGGUGAAGUACGGGUUACUGUCACCCCAGCUCUGGUUCUUGUUAUUCCCUAGGAGAAGCAUAAUAGAAGUGUGAAUUUAGGGUAGCCAAAUGAUGACUUUGCAGAGGGAAUCUUUAGGACUUGUGACUUGAUUAAAAGCAGGGAGAUGGAUAGGGAACGUCCAAGGAUAACUAGAUAACUAGAGCUCUCCUGUUCCUCUGACUCAUGUGUGCUGAAACUGUAGAGUCAAACAAACACUUGUAAGUGGCGUGAUGUAAAUCCCUUAGGGGCCCAUGCCUGCCUCAAGAGAAGAACGUGUGGUCAGGAAAAACGACCGGGGGAAGUGAAAACGACACAAGACCCAGAGGAUAACCCUUAUUUUAUUCACACAUGCAAAUUUAGGCACAGCAAAAAGCAAAACGAAGUAUACCAAAUGUCAAGGGUUAAUUAUUAAUCAUUUCUAUAUUAAAUUAUGAGUUUUUCAGUAAGACACUUUUUGAUAAGAAACUUGAAUUACGUUCAUAACCAUCAAAAUAAAGAAAAUAAAAGAGACAGAUUUUCUUUGGUGGUGGGAGAACAUUAAGUAUUGUGGAAGCCUGAAAAAUGGUCCCCAAAAGAAUCUGGUCCUAAUCCUUAGAACUUGUGAGUAUUAUCUUACUUGGAAAAAGGGUUGUUUUAAGAUAAGGAUCUUGAGUUGGGAAGAUUGUCCUGAGUUAUUCAGGUAGGCUGUAAAUGCCAUCACAGGCAACCUUUUUACAUGGAUAUUUGACACAGAGUGGAGGAGACACCCAUAGGAGAAGGCUAUGUGAAGACAUAGCAUCGAGACACUUGAAGAUAUUGGCCUUCAAAUGGCACAGCCACAAGCAAAGGAAUGCCAGCAGCCACCAGGAAAAAGCAAAGAAUGGAUUCUCACCUAAAGUCUCCAGAGGGACUGUAGAGUAUCCUGCCAACACCUUGAUUUUGACUCUGUGAAACUGAUGUCAGGCUUCUGGCCUCCAGAACUGUGAGAGAAGAAAUUUCUGUUGUUUUAAACCUUCGAAUUUGUGGUAAUGUGUUAGAGCAGCCACAGGAAACUCAUAUUCUAAACUAGCAACUAUGAAAUGAGAAUUUCUAGUGUUCAGCUAAGAUACCACCGCAGAAGCAGCUGGAUAAUAUCAGAUGAGCCGAAAACUUCUCUUACCCCAUUUCCUUAUCCAUAAAAUUAGCAAAUAAUACCUGUCUUGCAGAGUUAAUUUUAAAGUUAUACAAGUAAAUACACUUUGAAAGUGACAAGUACUAGAAAAAUGUAGGGAAUUAUCCUACAAGUCUGGGUAUCCCCACCACCCAAGGCACAUGAAUGAUGCACAAUAAAAUAUACAAUUGGUUAGAAAUAGAACAAAGUGUUGAAAGUGCUUCAAAGCUCGAAAUGUAGGGCAUGAGGAAUGAAGGAAAUUCAGUUCAGGAAUAAAAUAUUUAUUCAGCAUCACUAAUAAGCCAGGCACUCUGCCAGAACCCAAAGGUAUAAAGAGGAACAAAUGAUAAUUCCUGCCCUGUGGAUGGCUUAUAGUCUAGGGUAGCAUUUUUACAGUGUGUUCACAGACCACUAAGCUCUCAAAUUUCUAUUUAAAGAUGCCAAAGGACCCAAGAUCAAGUGCUAUAUUCUAAUAUCUACCCUCUCCAUUUCCUACCCCCUCCCACAACCACACUUUCUGUAGACUCACAAUGUGUUAGUUAAUUUAAGGCAUUGAGUCCUGUUGUUAAUAAGCUGACUUGCCCUUAAUUAUCACAGGCUUUUCCAAAUUUCCUUGACAUGCACUAACCAUUUAACCUUGGGGAAAAGAAUGGAAUAACAUUCUUGCCUGCCUGUUGUAGCUGUCAUCAUAUUUAAAUGUAAUAAAACAUGGAAAGUGUUUAAUAAUUAUGGUGCUCUAGGCAAAAUAGCAGUCCUUCAAAAAUGCCCAUGCCCUAAUCUCCAGAACCUGUGAAUAUGUUACCUGACAUUGUAAAGCAACCUUGUAGGUGUGAUUAAAGUUACAAGCUCUGAGAAGAGAAAAUUACUCUGGAUUAUCUGGGUGGGCCCAGCUUAAUCAUAUGAACCCUUAAAAGUGGAGAAUGUUUUCCAGCUAAGGUCAGAGAAAGAGACUUGACAAAGGAAGAAGGGUCAUAGGGAUGUGAUACCGCUAGCUUUAGAGAUGAAGGAAGAGGACCACAGCCAAGAAAUGUGGGUAGCCUCUGAACACAAUACAAGGCAAGGACACGGGCUCUCUCCUUGAGCCUCUAGAAGGAGCACAGCCAUAAGGCAUUCUUAAACUAUGUCGCUUACCUUACCUACCUCAUCCACUUACUACUUGUAUGGCUAAUGGCAUGAGGAAGUCACUAAAACUCUCCGAGCCUUCCUGGCCUCCACUUAAAUGGGAGUGGUACCCACAGAGGGUCAGGAGGCUCAAUCAAAUCUCAAAUUCAUUAUCUCUUGCUUCUCAUGCACAAGUCAGUGUCAGCAGGAGGCAUCAGUGCUUCUGCAAAAAUAACUAAUUCAACAUUACUUUGUCAGAUCACAACCCUUCUUUGCUAAAACCUUCCAGAGGCUCCCUGUCUCACUCACAGAACAACCUCAUGGACUUCCUCUGUUCUCAGGAUUCUCAUGACACAAUAUGACCCCAUUUCCUCUGACUAUAGGUCCUUCCUCUCUCCCCCUUCCUGAUGGUGCUCCAGCCAUACUGGCCACCUUGCUGUUCCUGAGGCACACCAGGCAGCUUCCAGCCUCAGGACAUUUGCACUUGCUGUUUUCUCUGCUUAGAGCCCUCUUCCCCCAUAUCCACAUAGCUUGCUCCCUCAACUCCUUUAGAUCUUCAUUCGGCUAUUACCUUCUUCCUGAGGCCUUCCCUAACAACCCUAUGAAAAUUGCAAUACCUGCCAGCCAAACAUUCCCCAUCCUCCCUUCACUUUAAUUUCCGCCAUAGUAAUUUCAUCUUCUCACAUGCUGCAUAUUUAACUGUUUUGUUUACUUUCUUUCCUCCAUUGGAAUAUAAGCUCUAUCAGGGCUUUUCAUGAAGGACAUGCAAGUAGAUGCUUGAUAAAUAUUUGUUGGAUAAAUAAAUCAGUGCAUAUACCAAUCUGAAGUCACAAAAUCAAUAUGAGCAUCACCUUCCACUAAAGACAUAUCCUUUCAGUUAUCGAUGAAAAAUGAAGUUGAAAACACAAUAAUCAGCCUGUCAUUGAACAAUGCAGCUGCAGCUAAGAUCAAGUUCUUGACUGACUUUGCCGAGCCCAACCAAUUCAAAGGAAGAAUAAAAACAUGGUCAAGGGACCCAAGACCCAGCUCUUAUCCCCUACUCAGAGAAAACCCAGAGAGAACCAGCCUUCUGAUGUCUUGUCCUUCCUGGUUUUGACCAACCUCUAAAAACCAUAAGAACAGUUUGUCUCAGUAUUUCAGUACUUCCGCUUCCAGGCCCAGGAAAGAGCAGGAAGUGCAGGGGCGUGUGAAAAUCAAGAAAAAAGAAGAAUUAAACCCGCUACACAUGAAGCGCUCAAAGACUUCCUCUGUAACCUGUUGCAGCACACGAGUUUCAAUGUGCUUUCACUGAGAGCCCAGGGGGACUGUGCUGUCCCCAGAAUUUCGCACCAUGCCCCACACUCUCAAUGAACACUUGUUG